AUUGAACGCUGGCGGCAUGCUUUACACAUGCAAGUCGAACGGUAACAGGCCUUCGGGUGCUGACGAGUGGCGAACGGGUGAGUAAUGCAUCGGAACGUACCCAGAGGUGGGGGAUAACGCAGCGAAAGCUGUGCUAAUACCGCAUGUGAUCUGAGGAUGAAAGCGGGGGACCAGCAGCAAUGUUUUGCCUCGGCCCUUUGGAGCGGCCGAUGUCGGAUUAGCUAGUUGGUGGGGUAAAGGCCUACCAAGGCGACGAUCCGUAGCUGGUCUGAGAGGACGACCAGCCACACUGGGACUGAGACACGGCCCAGACUCCUACGGGAGGCAGCAGUGGGGAAUUUUGGACAAUGGGCGCAAGCCUGAUCCAGCAAUGCCGCGUGCGGGAAGAAGGCCUUCGGGUUGUAAACCGCUUUUGGCAGGAACGAAACGGUGUCCGCUAAUACCGGGCGCUAAUGACGGUACCUGCAGAAUAAGCACCGGCUAACUACGUG
rnacentral:rRNA from 1 species